rnacentral:rRNA from 1 species
AAGCAAUGCGGCUCGAUGGCCCCGNGCCAUGGCGGACGGUUCAGUAAAACGUGGNAAACCAUACCCUCGGGUGGGGGAAAACCCUCGGGAAACUGAGGAAAUCCCCAAAGGAAAGGAGGUUCUGAAAUACUCCUCCCCGAAAGAAAAAUUCGCCCCGAGGAUUGGGGCUGCGGCCGANUAUGGAAGUUGGNGGGGGAAACGGCCCACCAAGCCUAAAAUCGGAACGGGCCUAAAAGGGGNNNCCCGAAAAUUGGGACUUAAAAACGGCCCAAGGCCCAACGGGGCGCAGCAGGCGCGAAACCUCUGCAAUGCGCGAAACCCGAGUGGUGGCCNCUUUUAUUGGGCUAAAGCGUCCGUAGCCGGCCCAGUAAGUCCCUGCUUAAAUCCUACGGCUUAACCGUAGANCUGGCAGGGAUACUGCUGGGCUUGGGACCGGGAGAGGGCGGGGGUACUCCGGGGGUAGCGGUGAAAUGUGUUGAUCCCCGGAGACCACCUAUGGCGAAGGCACCCGCCUGGAACGGGUCCGACGGUGAGGGACGAAAGCCGGGGGAGCGAACCGGAUUAGAUACCCGGGUAGUCCCGGCCGUAAACGCUGCGGAGUAGGUGUCGGGUAGGCCUCGUGCCUACCGGUGCCGAAGGGAAGCCGUUAAGUCCGCCGCCUGGGGAGUACGGUCGCAAGACUGAAACUUAAAGGAAUUUGCGGGGGAGCACUACAACGGGUGGAGCCUGCGGUUUAAUUGGAUUCAACGCCGGGCAUCUUACCAGGGGCGACGGCAGGAUGAAGGCCAGGUUGACGACCUUGCCAGACGAGCCGAGAGGUGGUGCAUGGCCGUCAUCAGCUCGUACCGUGAGGCGUCCUGUUAAGUCAGGUAACGAGCGAGACCCGCGCCCCAUGUUGCCAAUCUCCCUCGGGGGAGGGGCACUCAUGGGGGGANCGUGGCGUUAAGCCAGAGGAAGGAGCGGGCAACGACAGGUCCGCAUGCCCCGAAUCCCCUGGGCUACACGCGGGCUACAAUGGUGGGACAAUGGGACGCGACCCGAAAGGGGGAGCGAAUCCCCUAAACCCAGCCGUAGUUCGGAUCGUGGGCUGUAACUCGCCCACGUGAAGCUGGAAUCCGUAGUAAUCGCGCCUCAUCAUGGCGCGGUGAAUGCGUCCCUGCUCCUUGCACACACCGCCCGUCACGCCACCCGAGUUGGGUCUAGGUGAGGCCCUGGCCACUGGCUGGGGUCGAACCUA